CUGGGAGAGCCGCCAAUAUCUUUCGCCUCCCGGCAGUACAUGCGAUUACAUUCGAUCUCAUAGCUGGGAGUAUCUUCUUCCGGCCGCCAAUAUCUUUCGCCUUUCGGACGAUGCAAUGAAUGCACAGUCGAACGUGCCGGGACUAUUGACUCCGCCGGACAAGGCGUGCUGAAUAGUGAGUGCAACAACAGGAGUGCUCUCGCAAAUCGCAAGGAUCCGAUGCCUACUCGUGCCUUGCUGGCGUCGCAAAAAUUUCUACGACCUUGAGGUUAUCCUUGGUCCCAUAUGAUUGGCGUAUAUGCAUGCUUGCGGGGGAGGUAGGACAAGGCAACGAUUUAGAUGCCCCUUGUAGAGAUUAGCGGCCCUCAUAUGCCAUGUUAAUUAUCAGUGGAGAUGAUGAUUGUUCGGAUUGGAGUGUGCUAGCGCAUACUAUAAUGGUUGAUUAACGAAUAGCAAUUGAUCAACAGAGCUUCACCCACAGGUUAUAACCGGCACAAAGGGAGUUUCAAAAUAUUGUGUGCUG
rnacentral:lncRNA from 1 species